GUGCCAGCAGCCGCGGUAAUACGUAGGUGGCAAGCGUUGUCCGGAUUUAUUGGGCGUAAAGCGAGCGCAGGCGGUUUCUUAAGUCUGAUGUGAAAGCCCCCGGCUCAACCGGGGAGGGUCAUUGGAAACUGGGAGACUUGAGUGCAGAAGAGGAGAGUGGAAUUCCAUGUGUAGCGGUGAAAUGCGUAGGUAUAUGGAAGAACACCAGUGGCGAAGGCGGCUGUCUGGUCUGUAACUGACGCUGAGGCUCGAAAGCAUGGGUAGCGAACAGGAUUAGAUACCCUGGUAGUCC
rnacentral:rRNA from 1 species